UUAAUUGAAGAGUUUGAUCAUGGCUCAGAUUGAACGCUGGCGGCAGGCCUAACACAUGCAAGUCGAGCGGCAGCACAGAGGAACUUGUUCCUUGGGUGGCGAGCGGCGGACGGGUGAGUAAUGCCUGGGAAAUUGCCCGGUAGAGGGGGA
rnacentral:rRNA from 1 species